GAGCUCAAGCAAUCACCCGCCUCAGCCCCCCAGAGUGCUGGGAUUACAGGUGUGAGCCACCACACCCAGCCUCGCUCAUGUUUAAUGUUUCCUCGUAGAAGAUGAAAUGUCGGGGCUCAGAGAUGGGCUUCUAGAAGUCUGUGGGGCUGUUGAUAGUUGGCUCAUUGCUCAAGGCUGUGACACUGGGGCCUGGACACCCCAAACCUCACUAAGCUUCUGAAAAGCGGCAGACACUGGUGUCCCCAGAUGUCAGGGUGAAGUACCCUGGGAGGCUGCGAGGCCCCUGCAGCCCUGCCCACACCCAUGGCAGCACCCCCACCGCACGGCCCGGUCUCCUGGCAGGACCCCGAGCUGCCGCUCCCGGACAGCCCCCUGCCCGCCCCGCCAGGGGCAGCAGGCCCUGCUCCAUCCUGAUCCCACUCGGGACAGUCCCCCUAAGGAGCAGGAAGCAGCCGGUCUCCCCGAGUGUCAGGCCGGGGGGCUCAGAGACAGCCCGAGAGCAGGUCUACUGGGGACACCAGCUCCCAGGGUUUAGGAGCAGGGGCUGCGGGGCCCCCUAGCCAGGCUGAACCUCCGACGUCUCUGCUUCCUCAGCUGUGAAAGACGAAGACCGAAUGAGUCAAUGCACCAAAGAUGCUUUGAGUCGUGUCCAACAUCUUGUGGCCCAGUGGGAUUGUUCACCAAUUUUAUUGUCACUAGCACACCAUGGCGCAGUGCACGGAGAGUGACCCACAGACCAAGCUGUCUGGGAGGCAUCUGCUUUGCUUCUGUGAGCGAAGGCGAUUCUGAGUUGGAGCCUCCGUGCCUGGAGGUGGAGGGACGGUCGGUCUCGGCCACGGCUGAGCCGUCUGAGUCCGGGUCAGACUCCUCCCCAGCAUCCCAGAGUCGGGCUCCGCCACCCUCACGCCGCACACCGGUUGUGCAGGGCCUGUCCGGCACACGCACCCCUGGCAGGUCCACCCCGCAGAGCCCCUCACGGCACCCCCCCAGGACCUACCUCCUCCCAGUGCUGGGAGGGCCUGGGGGGACUCUCUCCACCCCCAGGACACGAUUAGCUACUCGGCUGCUCGGUUUGGGGAAACAAGAACAGAGAGGCGUUCUGGGCACAGAUUCUGCAUCCGCCCUCGGACAUGCCCUUCCCCCAGACCCGGGAGGAACCUGGGGGAAAAGCACAAAUGAACCUCAGGUGUUUACCGGCCGUGGACAUUGUCGUAGGGGCUCCUUUAACGAUGUGGGAAACUCCCACUUCACAGACGGGAACACUGAUGCUCAGAGGGGUCAAGUAACUGCUCAAAUCCACCAAGACAGUGGCAGAGCCAGAAAGUCACUCUCCAGCCCACUCUCCACCCCCCACCCUCCGCCUGGCCGGACGGGGCUCAGGUGCCCUCAGCUCCACACUGGCUGCCCCCAGGCCCCUCCCCAGCCCAGACCCCUUUGCAGAAUAAGGGUACCAACAGGUCAGGGACCUCAAGACCCUCACCCCCUCCCAGAGAGCCUGCCCUUGGCAUCCGGGGGGUGGGGGCAGCUCUAAAGUGGUCCUUAUCAGGCCGGUGGGGCAGAGGCACCUUCCCCAGCAGUCACAGAACUGUCUCCUGAGGUCUCCAUGGAAACAGCCUGGCUACAUGCCUGCCCAGUCCUGGGUGCAACAGAGCCACGAGGCCCCACCCCUGGGCCCCCAGCCAGCCUCGGCCCCAGAUCUCACCCUGCGGGACCCCGGGACAGCCAAACAGUCCAGGGGGCUUGUCCCUGGCUCCCUCCGCAGACCCCUGGGGGUGCGGCCUAGGCUCAGCCUGUGCUUGUGAGCAGCAGAGAGGGGGCCUGGAAGAAGCCCCCUGCACCCCUACUUGCUCCUGCACCCCAGUGUGGCUUCCUCGUGGGAUGCCGAGAUGCUCACUCCUCAGCUAUUUCCUUAUCUCAGAAGUUGGAAAAAUACAACCAAAUAUCAGACCUGAAAAAUGAACUCUUAGU